rnacentral:lncRNA from 1 species
AAAAAACAGGCCCAGGACCAACGGACAACCGCCCGGCGGCAGGGAGCCACCGCCCGGCGGUUUGCCUCUUAUCGCAUAUCUGCCCAGCGUCUACACCAGGUGCCUCCUCCUCGCACUGGACCACCCAACGGUGAAUUUUGCCGCCGGGCGGUUCCUAGACUUUUCUUUUCUUCAGUUUUCUUCCUCUGUCUUGAGUCUAAGACCUCCA